UUGGUCGAACAGCAAGAGCUGGUAGAGGUGGACUGGCUUUGAGCCUUGUCACCCAGAAUGAUGUUAAACUUAUUCAUGAAAUAGAAGCACUUAUUGAGAAACAACUUGAAAUGAUUGAAUACAAAGAAAGUGAGGCGCUUUCUCUCAUGAAAAAGGUUUUCAGUGCUAAGAAUGUAGCAGAAAUGAGAAUGAUAGAUGAUGGCUUUGAGGAGAAGGCUAAAGAGCGGAAAAACCAGAAACUGAAAAUGCUUGCAGAGAAAGGACUGUUGAAGAA